CAACGAAUAUUCCGCAAUGGACGCAAGUCUGACGGAGCGACGCCGCGUGCAGGAAGAAGUCCUUCGGGAUGUAAACUGCUGUCAGGGGUGAGGAAAACUGACCAACCCCAGAGGAAGCACCGGCUAACUCCGUGCCAGCAGCCGCGGUAAUACGGAGGGUGCGAGCGUUGUUCGGAAUCACUGGGCUUAAAGCGCGUGUAGGCGGCAAGUUAAGUGUUGGGUGAAAUCCCUCGGCUCAACCGAGGAACGGCCUGGCAAACUGGCUUGCUUGAGGUACGUAGAGGUGACUGGAACGACGGGUGGAGCGGUGAAAUGCGUAGAUAUCCGUUGGAACGCCGGAGGCGAAAGCGGGUCACUGGGCGUAUCCGGACGCUGAGACGCGAAAGCGUGGGUAGCAAACAGGAUUAGAUACCCGCGUAGUCCCUGAGCGGGCUGGCAAGGCGCAU
rnacentral:rRNA from 1 species